rnacentral:rRNA from 1 species
GAGAUAUAUGGAGCUUGCUUUAUUAACUUAGCAGCGAACGGGUGAGUAACACGUAGAUAAUCUAUCCUAUACUGGGGGAUAGCCCGAUGAAAGUUGGAUUAAUACCGCAUAUAGCUAUAUAGUUGCAUGAUUAUGUAGUGAAAGAUUUAUUGGUAUAGGAGGAGUCUGCGGCACAUUAGCUAGUAGGUGAGGUAAAGGCUUACCUAGGCGACGAUGUGUAGCCGGUCUGAGAGGAUGAACGGCCACAAUGGAACUGAGACACGGUCCAUACUCCUACGGGAGGCAGCAGUGGGGAAUAUUGCACAAUGGGGGAAACCCUGAUGCAGCAACGCCGCGUGAGUGAAGAAGGUUUUCGGAUUGUAAAGCUCUGUUAGCAGGGAAGAGGAAGGACGGUACCUGCAGAGGAAGCCACGGCUAACUACGUGCCAGCAGCCGCGGUAAUACGUAGGUGGCAAGCGUUGUUCGGAAUAACUGGGCGUAAAGGAUGCGUAGGCGGUUAAACAAGUUAUAUGUUAAAUAUAUAGGCUUAACCUGUAGAAAGCAUAUAAAACUGUUUAACUAGAGUGCAGGAGAGGUAAGUGGAAUUCCUAGUGUAGCGGUGAAAUGCGUAGAGAUUAGGAAGAACACCAGUGGCGAAGGCGACUUACUGGACUGUAACUGACGCUGAGGCAUGAGAGCAUGGGGAGCAAACAGGAUUAGAUACCCUGGUAGUCCAUGCUGUAAACGAUGGGUACUAGGUGUGGGUUGUGAAUAACAAUUCGUGCCGUCGCAAACGCAAUAAGUACCCCGCCUGAGGAGUACGAUCGCA